UCCGUAGUGGUGAAAUGGUAUCACAUGGCCUUGCCAAGGCUAAAGCGCGAGUUCGAUUCUCGUCUACGGGAC
rnacentral:tRNA from 11 species